CAUGGACACACUGCUGAAAACUCUUUGUAUAGGAAUAUCUCUAAAUAUAUAUUGUUUGUUUGGUUUGAAGACAAAAACAAAUACAAGAUUUUCCAUAUCAAAGGAAGGCAUCGUUUCCUGUGUAUUGUGUCAUAAUUAGUUUUAAUUAACAAUUGGCAAUCAAUAACUCUUUUUUAAAAACAUGAAAAAUAUGAAAAAUCAAUAAAAAAUAGAUUAAAUGAUUAAAUAAGAGCGAGAAAGUAAGUGCGGGCGUGUGCAUGGUCCAUUGAAUCGCUUCUUAGUUUGUGGGCAGGGCAUAGGUAGUCUAGCGUCGUAUAAGUAUUCUACAAGAUUUGUUUAGCAGUUCUUGGUUCACAAUGUUCUCUGACAAAUCAUCUCGACAGCAUGUGUUGUCCUGUGUCUUUCUUUUAAUUUGUGUUCAGCAUGGAUUUUCGUGUGAAGACUCUGUUUUUAUGAACUCUUUGAGCAUUAUAUCGGAAUGCAGAAGUCAGAUGCAUGAUAUUUUGCAUAUAAUGUGCCGGCUACCAAGUAUGUUGGAUGUUUUCAGCCUACGUGAUUUUUCUGCCAUCCAUGCAAGACAACCAUUGACAAUGGAUGAUUUAGUCUGUGAAUGCUGUUUCAAAGCUUGCUUUCCCAGUGAUUUCAACAGAUAUUGCCAUUUAGCAAAGUGAUAUCAUUAAUUUCAAAGACAGAAUUGUAUGAAUCAGCCGGUUAUUUGUUCGACACAUUUUAUAAAUGUUAUAGCUUGAGACGGUGACUAUUUGUUCUUUGUUUUGAAUAUGUUAAGUUUUACAAGAAAAAAUAAAAAAUAUUAUAU